CUCUCCUUCUGCUCUCUCUGUAAUUUCUCUCUCCUCCCGCUCGGUCUCUGUGUGCUCUCUGCCCGCUCUGUCUCAGCGGCCAAGCUCUCGGCGUUUUCCCUCUCCUCUCUCUAUAUACACAGGCAUCUCCGCAGACCCGCAAAUCUCACACCCUGGCCCUUCAGUUGUCUCUGUGUGCUCUUUGCCCGCUCUGUCUCAACGGCCAAGCUUUCUGUGUAUUCCCUCUCAUCUCUCUGUAUACAUAGGCACCAUCCCAGACCCGCAGAUCUCGCACCUUGGCCGUCCAAGUGUCUCUGUGUGCUCUCCGCUCGCUCUGUCUUAGCGGCCAAGCUCUCUGUGUAUUCCCUCUCCUCGCUCUGUAUACACAGGCACCUCUGCAGACCCGCAGAUCUCGCACCCUGCUGCUACCAUUUGUCCCUGCUCAUCAAGCCCUUGGGCGAACAAAAGCUCUCUCCCAUUCAAGGCAUGCUAACGCUUCCCUCUCUCUCUGGUUUUUUAUUUUCCAUCUCUCCCUUUGGUUUUCACUCAUUUCAAGUACACAACCCCCAAAGCCCCAAAGAACAACACACAAUCUGAGCAUUUUUGCCCUGAAUAUCCCAAAUACUGAGCAAAAUCUAGGCAACUACAUGGUUCUUUCUCUGUAGAAUUUUUUGCUCGGAUUUUUUUAUUGCCUUUUUUGCCUAGAUUUUUGUUUUCGUUUUUGUUGCAUUUUUUCUCAGAUUUUUCUUUCAUUUCUUGAAUAUCCUGAAUACUGAGCAAACCCUUGUGUAUAUGAGUUUCUUUCUCUGUAGCAUUUUUUCCCCUGAUAUUUUUAUAGCAAUGUUUUACCAGAUUUUUUUUUUCCAUUUUUAAAGCAUUUUUGCCCAGUAUUGGAAUACCGCUGCAAUACUUUUUGUAUCUGUAAAAAUGGGUGAAAAUGUAAAAAUUGGUGAAAAUGCCUUCUCUUUGUUUGAUAUAUAAAACUGGACAGUGCUGAUUUAAACCAAUAUGUGUUCAAGGGCAUCGUUAAAGAAAUACAUCCUCUUCCUCCUUCAAAAGCUUAAAAACUAAGAGAAGAAGUAUUGGUGAGAUUUUAUUGGAUGGAAAUAUAUGACCAUCACAAUGUGGUUGUAAGACUUUUGAUUCAUUCUAAUUAAUAUGUGUAGGCUAGAAGGGACAAACACACUACUCCAGAAGUAUUUCAGACAACCUGCUUUAUCGUGCUGGGGCAUGAGUUAAAAACAAUUCUUUGAAUUUUUGUUAGAAAGUUCAAGCUAAAGCAGCACGAAUAUAUCAGAAUAUGAUCAUUUAAUAUAUCUUAAUAUGCUCAUAUGAAACUUUCCUAUGCCUUAGGACUCUUAUAACAGCUUUAGGUUUGAUAAAGUAGUGUACGGUAGAAAUUUGAUUUCGUUUUUUAGGCAAACAUAUGGGUUUUAACCAUGUGUAUAUAUGGUAGCAUGACUUACACUCAUAGUUAAGGGCCUACAAAGUUAUUGAUUAGUUGGCAUGCUGAAAUUCCAAGGUUAACUGAAGCCUAUGUAUUAUGUUUGGAGCUUGAAUUGAGUGGAGUCAAUGAUUCUUGCCUAGAUUUUUUUAUAGCAAUUUUAUUUCGUUUUCUUGGCUAAAAUAUGGCUUUUAACCUUGCAAAUAUAUGGUAGCAUUUGGAUUAUUUUGUUUGUUUAAAUUUCAAGGUUAACUGAUGCCGAUGUAUUAAGUUUGGACAUAAGUGGAGUCAAUGUUUCUCUCCCAAAUUUUUUUAUAGCAAUUUCAUUUCCUUUUUUUGGCAAACAUAGGGUUUUUGUCCCUGUGUAUAUAAGGUAGCAUGACUUACACUCAUAUUUAAGGGCCUAUAUGGUUCUUGAUUAUUUGACCUGCUGAAAUUCAAAGGAUAAGUGAUGCCCAUCUAUUAUGUUUGGAGCUUGAAAAGAGUGGAGUCCUUGUUUAUUGCCCAGAUUUUUUUGUAACAAAUUCAUUUCGUUUUUUUGACAAACAUAUGGUUUUUGACCCUGUGUAUAUAUAGUAGCGGGACUUACACUCAUAUAUAACGGCCUACAUGGUUCUUGAUUAUUUGUCCUGCUGAAAUUCCAUGGAUAAGUGAUGCCGAUAUAUCAUGUUUGGAGCUUGAAAUGAGUGGAGUCAAUGUUUCUUGCCCAGAUUUUUUUAUAGCAAUUUCAUUUCAUUUUUUUGGCAAACAUAUGGUUUUUGACCCUUUGUAUACAUGGUAGCAUGACUUACACUCAUAUUUAAGGGCCAACAUGGUUCUUGAUUAUCUGGCCUGCUGAAUUCCCAAGGGUAACUUAUGCUAAUGUAUUAUGUUUGGAGCUUGAAAUGAGUGGAGUCAAUGUUUUUUGCCCAGAUUUUCUUACAGCAAUUUCAUUUCGUUUUUUUGGCAAACAUAUGGUUUUUGACCAUGUGUAUAUAUGGUAGCAUGACUUACUCUCAUAUAUAAGGGCCUACAUGGUUCUUGAUUAUUUGACCUGCUGAAAUUCCAAGGAUAAUUGAUGCUUAUUUAUUUUGUUUGGAGCUUGAAAUGAGUGGAGUCAAUGUUUCUUGUUCAGAUUUUUUUAUAGCAAUUUUCAUUUUGUUUUUUGGCAAACAUAUGGUUUUUGACAUUGUGUAUAUAUGGUAGCAUGACUUGCACUCAUAUUUAAGGGCCUACAUGGUUCUUAAUUAUUUGGCCAGCUAAAAUUCCAAGGGUAACUGACGCCAAUGUAAUAUGUUUGGAGCUUGAAAUGAGUGGAGUCAAUGUUUCUUGCCCAGAUGUUUUUUUUAGCAAUUUCAUUUCAUUUUUUCUGGCAAAGAUAUGGUUUUGGACCCUGUGCAUAUAUGGUAGCAUGACUUACACUCAUAUAUAUGGGCCUACAUGGUUCCUGAUUAUUUGACCUACUGAAAUUCGAACGAUAAUUGAUGCGUAUAUAUUAUGUUUAGGGGUUGAAUAGAGUGGAGGCAAUGUUUCUUGCCCAGAUUUUUUUAUAGCAAUUUCAUUUCGUUUUUUUAGCAAACAUAUGGUUUUUGGCCCUGUGUAUAUAUGGUAGCAUGACAUACACUCAUUUUUAAGGGCCUACAUGGUUCUUGAUUUUUUGGCCUGCUAAAAUUCCAAGGGUAACUGAUGCCAAUGUAUUAUGUUUGGAUCUUGAAAUGAGUGGAGUCAAUGUUUCUUGCCCAUUUUUUUGUGGCAAUUUUACUUCGUAUUCUUGGCAAACAUAUGGUUUUUAACCCUGCGUAUAUAUGGUAGCAUUUUGAUUAUUUGGAUUCCGGAAAUUCCAAGGUUAACUGAUGCCUAUGUAUUAUGUUUGGAAAUGCUUGGAGUCAAUGUUUCUUGUGCAGAUUUUUUUAUUGCAAUUUCGUUUCAGGUUUUUGGCAAACAUAUGUUUUUUGACCCUAUGUAUAUGUGGUAGCCUGACUUACACUCAUAUAUAAGGGCCUACAUGGUUCUUGAUUAUUUGACCUGCUGAAAUUCCAAGGAUAAGUGAUACAUAUGUAUUAUGUUUGGAGCUUGAAAUGAGUGGAGUCAAUGUUUUUGGCCCAGAUUUUUUUAUAACAAUUACGUUUUGUUUUUUCUGCAUACAUAUGGUUUUUGACCCUAUGUUUAUGUGGUAAGUCAUUAUGUGGUAGCAUGACUUACAGUCAUAUUUAAGGGUUUACAUGGUUCUUGAUUAUUUGGCAAGCUGCAAUUCCAAGGGUAACUUAUGCCAAUGUAUUAUGUUUGGAGCUUGAAAUUAAUGGAGUCAAUGUUUCUUGCCCAGAUUUUUUUAUAGCAAUUUCAUUUCUUUUUUUUUCCAAACAUAUGGUUUUUGACCCUGUGUAUAUACGGCAGCAUUACUUAGACUCAUAUAUAAGGGCCUACAUGGUUCUUGAUUAUUUGACCUGUUCAAAUUCCAACGAUAAUUGAUUCCUAUGUAUUAUGUUUGGGGCUUGAAAUGAGUGGAGUCAAUGUUUCUGGCCUAGAUUUAUUUAUAGCAAUUUCAUUUCGUUUUUUUGGCAAAAAUAUGGUUUUUGUCCUUGUGUAUAUAUGGUAGCAUGACGUACAUUCAUAUUUAAGGGCCUACAUGGUUCUUGACUAUUGUGCCUGCUGAAAUGAGUUGGAGUCAAUGUUUCUUGCCCAGAUUUUUUUAUAGCAAUUUCAUUUCGUUUGUUUUUGUAAACAUAUGGUUUUUGACCUUGUGUACAUAUGGUAGCAUGCCUUACUCUCAUAUAUAAGGGCCUACAUGGUUCUUGAUUGUUUGACCUGCUCAAAUUCCCAAGAUAAUUGAUGCCUAUAUAUAAUGUUUGGUGCUUGAAAUGCCUAUUGAAGGACUAGGAUUUGGAGUACUGUUGAAUUUUCAUCACUAUCCUGUUGGGUUGUUUUUAUUUAUUAUUCUUGUGGUUGGUUUUAUGUGAAGAAUGUUAUUUGCAUGUUUGGUUUAUUUAGAUGAUGGGCAGAGUUUCAUGAAACUUAGUAUGUUUCGCCUUUGUUGUCACAUGAACCAGCACAAGCUCCAUUCAAUAGCUUCCAAUUCGGACUUGCAUAUGAAGGUGAACAGAUGAAGCAUGUUGAAGGUUUUUUCCCACUUUGUUCCAAAAAGUUUUCUCAGGAAGUAGUUUUGAAAAAUUGAGAAAGAGACUGGUUGUGGCUAUCUAGAGUGGUGUGAUGAAAUUCUAGGUGAAGAAAAACAAGCAUGUGGUUAAAAGGUUCGUAUCUCAGAGGCCAGAUGCUUGUGCUGCCAAUAGAGUACAUGCAUCUCUGACCGAGAAAGAGAAGCGCAAAUCUGUUGCUAUGGUCCUUGAGAAAGCAGACGUUAAAAUAUUUUUUCACAUAUGUGUAAUUUUAUUAAUGACAUUGAUGUUUGCCUUCAUUUUCUUUGUAAAAGGAAUGGGUAUAUGUUUUAUAGUAUCUAUAUAUUUAUAAUUG